ACGAAAUGGUGAUACAAAGGAAGGAUUCACUUGAGUGGCGGAGGUCAAAUGCCUAUGGAAUUGCACCCCAAGAUAUGGACAAACUGCCUACUCCUAGCAGCAAGAGACCAUCCUAAAUUAUAUAGAUCUGUGAUUGAAGAUGUUAUUAAUGAUGUGAGAGACAUCUUUUUGGAUGAUGGAGUGGAUGAACAAGUCCUGAUGGAACUAAAAACUUUAUGGGAGAAUAAACUAAUGCAGUCUAGGGCAGUAGAUGGAUUUCAUUCAGAAGAGCAACAACUUUUAUUGCAAGUUCAACAGCAGCAUCAACCCCAGCAGCAGCAACACCACCACCACCACCACCAUCAGCAAACUCAACCUCAGCAGACAGUACCUCAGCAAGCACAGACCCAGCAGGUUCUUAUUCCUGCAUCACAGCAAGCCACAGCACCACAAGUUAUUGUUCCUGAUUCAAAGCUUAUACAGCAUAUGAAUGCAUCAAACAUGAGUGCUGCUGCUACAGCUGCUACCUUGGCACUCCCUGCAGGUGUGACUCCUGUUCAACAGAUAUUAACAAAUUCAGGCCAGCUUCUUCAGGUGGUCAGAGCAGCCAAUGGUGCCCAAUAUAUCUUUCAGCCUCAGCAGUCAGUGGUUCUGCAACAGCAGGUUAUUCCACAAAUGCAGCCUGGUGGAGUACAAGCUCCUGUUAUACAACAGGUUCUUGCCCCUCUUCCUGGAGGGAUUACACCACAGACUGGUGUUAUCAUCCAGCCUCAGCAAAUAUUAUUUACAGGAAAUAAGACUCAAGUUAUACCUACAACAGUGGCAGCGCCCACACCAGCACAAGCACAGAUAACUGCAGCUGGCCAGCAGCAACCACAGGCCCAGGCUGCUCAACAGCAAGCUCCAUUGGUAUUACAAGUUGAUGGAACUGGGGAUACCUCAUCUGAAGAAGAUGAAGACGAAGAAGAAGACUAUGAUGAUGAUGAAGAGGAGGAUAAAGAGAAAGAUGGAGCUGAAGAUGGACAGGUAGAAGAAAAAUUUGCACCAUAUCUUUCAUCUCUGACACAGUUGAGGAACCCCUCAAUAGUGAAGAUGAUGUGAGUGAUGAGGAAGGACAGGAACUCUUUGACACAGAAAAUGUUGUUGUAUGCCAAUACGAUAAGAUACACAGAAGUAAAAACAAAUGGAAAUUUCAUCUCAAGGAUGGUAUUAUGAAUCUUAAUGGAAGAGAUUAUAUAUUUUCCAAAGCCAUUGGAGAUGCUGAAUGGUGAAGAGUUGCUUCUUUCUUUUAUAAAUAAAAGAAACUUUAAAAAAAAGUUUAAAGUGAACAGUUUGAAACUUGGGACAAACACCAACCAAAACUUCAUUUCUGCAUGUCAGAAAAGUGCAGUAGAAGCAAAGCUACUGGAACAAAGAUAGACCUUGACAACAUAGACACUACUUCUAACUGGCAAGCCAUGGAACUGUAGCACCUGGGGUUGUUGGGGUGGGGGGGUUGGGGUUUUGUGUAGGAAAACCAUAAUUGUCAAUUUUAAAUACAGGAACUUGCCACCGGUAAUUAGCAUGUAAAGCUUUGUCUCUAUUCCUUCCUCCAACUUGGGCUCAAUCAGAAGAGUCUUCUUGGAAUGAACUGAAGAAACUUCCCUUUUGAUAGAUUGAACUGAAACUGCUUAUUGUAUGUGGUUAUAUUUGGUAAAAAUUGUGUGUGAGCUUUUUACAAAAGGGUAAGAAUUAUGGUGUUGAAUUUUAAUUCACUUGUAUAAGAAAACAAUUUAAAAUUCUCAUAAUAGGUCUUAAAUAUUUUUACUUGUUAUUUUCCCUUGGUAAUAUAUAACUCUUCCUUCCCUGCUUUAUGAAACAUCUAAGAUAUAAGGAAGUAAUCAGUAAUCACAGUUUAGAGACAAAAUUGACCCAGGAAUGGAUAUUUAUUUUAAUUAGGUUUUCAUACUUAUUAAAUGUAAUUUUAAAACUUGGGUCUUAUCUGAAUUGUGUGGAAUUAAAAUGACAACUUCAAUUUCCUUACAGAAAAACUGUGUAACCCUUUAAAAAGAAAUUCCAAAUUGGCUCCUCAGGAACACAUUUUUAUUUUACAAAGGUACCAUCUAGCUAAAAUUGUAUAUACAUGGAUAUAUGAAGAUUUUUCUUGUUUGGCUGAAGUGUGUGCUUAUAUAUGCAUUUAGUCUUUAAGGUAAACAUUCAGAUAACAUUCUGUAUAUUGAUUGAAGCAUAAAGGGCAGGUGGUGAGGACCUGGAUUUUUAUUAAACAUUUUAGUAAUUAUAAAAGUUUCUUGUGUUUACUAGUAAAGAAUUUAAAAACCUAUUAUUUUAUUUGAACAAAUUUUUUAAAAGUAACUUUGUAAUUUGAGGGGAAGUUUUGGGGGGUUGAGGGAGGUGGGCAACUAAUAAAUAAGUACAUAUUUACCUCUCUUGCAUUGGGUGGCCUAGAAGGGCCAUUGAUAAUAUAGACUUGGGCUCCAGUUUGCACAUUGGAAAGAAACAUAGAAAUUUGACUUGUAUAUUAAAAAUAAUAGAACUUUAAUAUGUAUUUAAGAAUGCAUAGCUCUGUAUUUCUCUAAGGGGCUCUAAAGAACAAUAUGGCACUGCCAUCUGUGUGAAUCAGCUGCCUGGGAGACCUGUAGGAACAUUCACCUUCACUUUUGUGUUCUAAUAAUUAAUUCAACUUUUCAUGGUUUUUCUUAACAAAAUUCACAUGUUUAAUAAGUUACUGGUAUAUUGAUUUUUUUUUUGUCUUCCAUUGUUGUCUUCCCUUCAUUUGCCUUUAUGUGUUUCCAGAACUAACAGAUAAACACUUUAAAGUACUUUACAAAGGAGAAAACUGUGAGCAAUUAUAGUGUUUAUUUUUUUUAAAAAAACAUAUCUUUACAUUUCUCAAAAGGUUAAUCAACUUUUUUUUUUUUUUUUUUUUUUUGCCUACUUCUCACCCCACUUCCAACUUGGUCUCUUUUAACUUUUGUUCUGAAUUUUGGUAUAAAUGGUGAUGUCUGGCAUUCUAGUAGUUAGGUUUUAUUUAGAUGCCAUAACUGGUAAUAGAGUUUUUAUUUUGACUAUUAAUUUAGCUUUUUUUGAGGGGAAAUUUGUUUACCCCACUACUCUCAAAGCACACACAGGUUUUUUAUUUUAUUUUUACUUAUAAGUAAGACUAGAAUGGAGGGAGUAAAAUCAUAGAAGUCCUGUUAGUGUCCUUUUCAGUAUAGUUAUUAGGAGGCUUAUGUUUACUCAAUGAAGAAGUCAAUGACCUGAACUACCUAUAAAAGUUUAGCAGUGCUGCAGUGUUGCUUAAGUAAAACUCUUUAACGUAUCUAGUAGUUCUUAUACUACUGAAACUUUGAUUACUGUAUGAUGUUCAGCUCAUGUCUUGGGCCCUCUUUGUAGACAAAUAUUCAUAGUAGCAUUGUAUACUGGCCUAUUUUUAUAAUUAUAUUUGCAAACAUGAACAACCACUGCUUUCAGAAUGACUCACUGGAGUUAUUUUGAAGCAGGAAAUAACCAGUUGUAUUUGCACCUGUAUAUUGCAUAUGAAUUAUGAUAUACUUGGCAAAUGCUUUUCUUCUACCUGUGAAAAUUCUGAAAGCUGGUCCAAACAACACUGCAUACCAAAUUGUGCUCUUAUGUAUUAUUGCAUCGUGUUUCUUUUUAAUCAAAUAGCUUGCUUUAUUUUUUAUUAUAGUGGCUUUUGCUAUAUGAAUGUCACUUGCUUUGAAUUUUUAAUCAUGCUUUUAACAUUAUUUAACAAAUCAUUUCAUUAGGUUCCGUUAAAAUGUCAUUCCUUUGAAAAGGCAAGGGAUUCCCACUUUCAGAGUUUUUAAAUGAAAGUAUCUUUAUCCAAAGGGGAAAAAUCAUUCAGACUUCAUAAUAACCAUUGCUUAUUCAGAAGAGAAUUUGUUUAGAUUUGCACAGAUGGUGAUGAUGGCACUUUUUACUCAAAAAACAAAAGUGCUAUGGAAAAUUUACAGAAAAUUACUGAAGUGUGGAAGUAUAUCCUUUUGGCAUACAAGUCUUGUUGGAUGGUCAUUUGUAUGAUCUGGUCACUUGAAUGCCUGAUAGCACAUUUAAUUUCUGUAGAGCGCUGCAUGUGGCUAAAACAACUCUUCAAUGUGCAAUUCGAUUCUAGAUUAAAAUGUCUGUUAUAUGAGGGGGAUCUUUAUAUUAAGCUUUUAUAUUUUUUGAGAUGUUAACAUUUAUGUUAAUUAAAUGUCAUCAUAAUUUGCACUGUUGGCUUUUUAAAAAUCAAAGUCACUAAUGUUGUAUAAUUACAACAAGAUUUGAGCAUUGUGUCUAGUGAUUAAAAUAUGUUCUUGACCAGCAAAAUAGAUUCUGGUUUUAGAAAAUAUAAAAAUAUAAUAGCUUUUGUAUAAAGGUUGUCUUUUGCUAUAGUGAAAGUCAAGGAUUUUUUUUUCCUGGCUCUUAUGAAGGGAUUAAAAAGAAUGGUCUCCCUCUAAAAGUAAUUUUUUAUUAUCAUAGCAAUAAUUCACUAUUAUUAGAGGGAAAAUAUUCCUUGUAUAGGAAAACAGACAAUUUCUUCUUGGGAGUUCCCUUUAUAACUUUAGUAUUUUCUUUCACUUGAGAAAAUUCCUAUAUUUUCAGAUUAUUUCAUUUUGAGCUUUUUUGAGCUUUUGUGCAAUGUAAUAUUUUAUUGAUAUGUCUUUGUAUAUUUUCAUUUCAUAAUGUCUGUCUCCCACCUACGUGUCUGAAUCAGCUAUAGCAAAUUUUGAAUUUCUGGUUAAAAAGUAGUUGUUUUAUAUGUUUCCUCAUGGGUUUGUUAGUUUUGCAUUUUAAUCAUCUAUUAUGCUAAAUUACUCUUGAGGUUUAUACACUUCCCUUUUGAAUCCUGCCUUAGUCUAUCAUUAUUUUUCUGUGAUUUAAGAAGAACAGAUCAAACUAUUUUUGUUUAUUUUGAGGAACAAACUUUUUUCCUUCUCUUUUAGAGAAUUAUAUUGUGUUACUAACUACUCUCUCCUUUAGUCAGAUUUCCUUAAAUCAGUCCAGUAUACACAGGGCUACACCUUGGGGGGGAGGAACUAAUCUUUUUGCUGUUCUGAGCUACUAUUGUCAACUGCUGUUGUACAUACUGUUAUGUGUAAGGGCGUAAAUAUAUUUAUUAUGUUUGUAAAAUUCAUUCUGUACAAUUGCAGAUCAAGGUUGCUCUUCUGUGAUAAAUGGGAUAUUAUGUUUUAAAGACCCAUCUUGGAAUACAAUUAGAGAACUUAGUAUUUUCAUGUACUAAGACCUAUUUUAAGUUUAAUAUUUUACCUUUGCAAAACUUUAAUUAAAGAUGUUAUUUAAAAAAGUAA